GACGAACGCUGGCGGCGUGCUUAACACAUGCAAGUCGAACGGAAAGGCCCCUUUGGGGGUACUCGAGUGGCGAACGGGUGAGUAACACGUGAGUAACCUGCCCUUGACUUCGGGAUAACUUCAGGAAACUGGGGCUAAUACCGGAUAGGAAUCCUUGCUGCAUGGUGGGGGUUGGAAAGCUUCGGCGGUUUUGGAUGGACUCGCGGCCUAUCAGCUUGUUGGUGGGGUAGUGGCUUACCAAGGCUUUGACGGGUAGCCGGCCUGAGAGGGCGACCGGCCACAUUGGGCCUGGGGUACGGCCCAGACUCCUACGGGGGGCAGCAGUGGGGAAUAUUGCAACAUGGGCGGAAGCCUGAUGCAGCAACGCCGCGUGCGGGAUGACGGGCUUCGGGUUGUAAACCGGUUUCAGCAGGGGCGAAGCUUGUGGUGACGGUACCUGCAGAAGAAGCACCGGCUAACUACGUG
rnacentral:rRNA from 1 species